GACUCUCGGCAAUGGAUAUCUCGGCUCUUGCAUCGAUAAAGAACGUAGAGAAAUGCGAUACUUGGUGUGAAUUGCAGAAUCCCAGUGAACCAUCGAGUCUUUGAACGCAAGUUGCGCCCGAGGCCACCGGAGGGCGGCGCCUGCCUGGGCGUCG